CAGAGGGACCAGCUUCCAGGUGGAGCACCAACUGUGGACCCAGGCCACAUUCCCAGGUCAGAGGACAGUGAAGAAACCAAGGGCCCAGGCAGUAAAGGUUCCUCAUGCAGAAUCACUGACCUCCAGCAGGAUCCCAGGGACCAGAGCGCCCAUCCGGAAUCAGAAAGCUUUGAGGACAGAGCAGACCCAGAGGAGGCAGGGAAGAACCAUGCAUCAGACCUGGAGGGCAGCCAGUAGACGGGUGGAACCCCUCCGGGCUCCUUCCCAAGU